UAGAAGGUGGUGUAGUGGGAGCACAAAGAGUUUUGAUCUCUUAAGUUUGGGUUCGAGCCCCUUCUUUCUAA
rnacentral:tRNA from 1 species